AUCCAGCUGAUGAGUUCUAAAUAGAACGAAACACGCGUCCUGGAC
rnacentral:hammerhead_ribozyme from 1 species